GUCAACAUAGUUUAACAAAACAUUAGACUGUGGGCCUAAAGAUAGAAAUCAACAUUUCUUGUUGACCC
rnacentral:tRNA from 1 species